rnacentral:rRNA from 1 species
CGGACGGGUGAGUAACGCGUGGGUAACCUGCCUUGUACUGGGGGACAACAGUUAGAAAUGACUGCUAAUACCGCAUAAGCGCACAGUAUCGCAUGAUACAGUGUGAAAAACUCCGGUGGUACAAGAUGGACCCGCGUCUGAUUAGCUAGUUGGUAAGGUAACGGCUUACCAAGGCGACGAUCAGUAGCCGACCUGAGAGGGUGACCGGCCACAUUGGGACUGAGACACGGACCAA